rnacentral:rRNA from 1 species
UACGUAGGGGGCAAGCGUUGUCCGGAAUCAUUGGGCGUAAAGAGCGUGUAGGCGGCUUGGUAAGUCCGCUGUGAAAGUCCAGGGCUCAACCCUGGGAUGCCGGUGGAUACUGUCGAGCUCGAGUCCGGAAGAGGCGAGUGGAAUUCCUGGUGUAGCGGUGAAAUGCGCAGAUAUCAGGAGGAACACCAAUGGCGAAGGCAGCUCGCUGGGACGUGACUGACGCUGAGACGCGAAAGCGUGGGGAGCAAACAGG